ensembl:lncRNA
CAGAAAGAUGAAUGUUUAUGUAGGAGAUGUUACCGUUUUGGUUCAGGAUCCAGUUUUCUCCUCCUUAUUUUCUUUUCAUUAUGAGGCGUUUUCAAAAGAGGACAGCUAAUUCUGAAAAAUGGUCAAAAUCAAGCCAAACGCAUGAAUGUGAGCAGACGUCUGAGCUAAUGUCUAGGAUCAGGAGCCUUUUCUGUGGGCUAAGAAAAGGAAAUUGCGCCCCCUACCGAACCAAACUCUGCUUUCUGACUCUGUUCUGAGCCAGAGGCUUUUCUCCAUCAACAUGAACAUGUGCCAGCACGCCGCUCCUCAAUCAGAUGACCUUGGCAGCGGGACGCAGCCGACGGUCUCGGAGCGAAAGAGCCAUCCAUCACGCUGCAGACAGACCGCCUGUCACUCCGUUAUCAAGCCUCUGAAAACUCAGACUGAUGUCUCAGGGAGCCAUAUGGAGAGGAGAUCCAGUAUUUACUCGGAGGAGCUGUGAUUCAUGGCUAAGUGAUACUCAACAAAUGGUGUAUGAGGGCCAAAAAAAGAAGAGGAAGAGAGUUCAGCGAAUGACCUUAAAUGACACCACAUCAGUCAGGAUGCUGUGUUUGUGCACAUGCUGUGUCGAUCGGCCGUGUCUCACCCUGCUCGAUCGUUCACAUCUGUGGAGAUGAAAGGCGAGGGAGAGAAACGCUUUCAUAUGCCAAAGGAAGCAUUUCAUUGCAUGCUGUGCAAAAACAACAAGACUACAUGUGUGUGUGCAUCACACUCCAUUAUUUGAGCCACCCAGACAGAAAAAGAGCCAGUCAAAAAGGACAAGGUUGCAUCACCAUCCACAGGCUAAAUAUAUAUAUCAUACGGGUCAUUUCCAGGUACAAAAGUUCAAAAGUUUGGAUCAGUAUGAUUUUUAUUUAAAGAAAUGAACACUUUUAUUCGACAAGAGCCCAUUAAAUUGAUCAAACCUGACAGUAAAGACAUUUCUAAUGCUACAAAAGAUUUCAAAUGAUGUUGUUCUUUUGAACUUUUUGUUCAUCAAAGAAUCCUGAAAAAAAUAACAGAACUGUUUUCAUCAUUGAUAAUAAUGAGAAACGUUUCUUGAGCAGCAAAUUAGAAUGAUUUCUGAUGUAGCGUGACACUGAAGACUGGAGUAAUGAUGCUGAAAAUUCUGCUAUGAAUCACAGGAACAAAUUACAUAUUACUAGUUACUCAAAUAGAAAACACUUAUUUUAAAUUAUAAUAAUAUUUCAGAAUACUAGUUUUUGCUGUAUUUUUGAUCAAAUAAAUGCAGCCUCUGUGAGCCGAAGAGACUUCUU